rnacentral:rRNA from 1 species
GACGAACGCUGGCGGCGUGCUUAACACAUGCAAGUCGAACGGUGAACCAGGGCUUGCCCUGGGAAUCAGUGGCGAACGGGUGAGUAACACGUGGGCAACCUGCCCCAGACUCUGGGAUAACUCCGGGAAACCGGGGCUAAUACCGGAUAUGACCUUUGAAGGCAUCUUCGAAGGUGGAAAGUUUUUCGGUCUGGGAUGGGCCCGCGGCCUAUCAGCUAGUUGGUGAGGUAAUGGCUCACCAAGGCGACGA